rnacentral:rRNA from 1 species
CCCUUAGAUGUCCUGGGCCGCACGCGCGUUACACUGAUGCAUUCAACGAGCUUAUAACCUUGGCCGAGAGGCCUGUGCAAUCUUGUUAACGUGCAUCGUGAUAGGGAUAGAUUAUUGAAAUUAUUAAUCUUGAACGAGGAAUUCCUAGUAAACGCAGAUCAUCAAUCUGCAUUGAUUACGUCCCUGCCCUUUGUACACACCGCCCGUCGCACCUACCGAUUGGAUGGUCCGGUGAAGCCUCGGGAUUGUGGUUCUUGCCGCUUUAUUGUGGCGUGACCGCGAGAACUUGUCUAAACCUUAUCAUCUAGAGGAAGGUGAAGUCGUAACA